CUGUGCUUGUUGGGUAACGCGAGAAGGCUAACGGCCGCUCGCUCCACCGAAUGUUGACCUCACCGAGGUCAAGUGUCGCGCCCCAGCAGUGACAAGAUUUUCAGGGACACAACGUGACCCUUGGCGCGCUGUCAUAGUCCCCUCAUUCACACACGUCCGGAUGCGGGCAGACCUACUAACAGUGCCAUUGAAGCACGGGAAUUGUUUCAUUACCAUCGCCAUCCACAGAGCACGUACUUGAUCACGUGUCAGAACACAGAUGCUGCUUGAGUGGCAUACUUUUAAAAAAGUCUAUGACAAGUAAAUGUUAAUGUUUCUGAACUUUCGGAUUUGCAAUAAAACGGAAGGAAGAGGGAAUAUCUGGACAAAAUCAUACGGCAAAUUCCAUAAACAAUUGUCAAGUCCAGAACGAUCUGAAUGCAUCCCAAGACGAGAUUCGAUCCUCAGACCAUACAUUCUGUAUUGCCGUGAUGAUAGGAAGUGUUUCACUACUGGUAACCUGAUCGCCGGAAAAAUAAAAAGCUUGAUGUUAGGUCGUGUAUGCGUGUACAGAAUGAGUCACUAUUAUCUAUUUAAAGUAUUGGACUUUGACUGUUGCCCAUGAAAGUACAAACUAAAAGAUGGUCUGCGCAUGCGUGGCAGAACUUUGCUGGGGAAGGUCGGUAUAGCCGCUACCUGCACAAGGUCUGUGUCCCAGAGAUUCUUUGGACCUCGACAAAGUCUAUGAUGUCAGACCCUACACACGACUACAAGGAAACACGAACUUUCCCAGCAUUCCUUGCGCCCCUAGUCCAGCGAGACUCAGAUGCCAAGACGCCGGUUUUCAUUUCCUGCAGCGUGCUUCGCCACACCUGGAGUCGGAGGGAGCGAGAUGGCGAAGGAUAAAGAAAAGAUGCAAGUAGAGAGCGGCUUGGAACGGGAGGAUAGUGGUGAGAAAGAAAAGAUCGCGAGAUAAAAGUGUUGAAGGUGAGAUGGAAGGAGAUGGACAGGGGAAAGGAGGGGGAAUUAAACUGUUUACUCCCGAGACAGGUUAAGUGAGGGAAGAAUAAGCGGAAAGGCAAGGGAAACUUUCCAGAUUGUCUUCUGUUACUAUAGCUACCACUCUUAUCAGCGCCUGCAAUUACCGGUAUUUCAUUGAGAUUCACACAUUACUACAGAAAAAAGUAGUUGUAACAUGCGAUGAUUUGAUGUCUUUUGACAGCAGUUCUUUGAAGUAGCUCUUCAAACGAGUCAAGAAAAAUCUAUGAUAUCAAGAACACUGCUAAGUUGGAGAACUUACACUAACUACUGGUACGGAUGGACAGAAGGACGCAUGGUCAGUAGAGUGUGGUCGAGGUCUGGAUUAAACAUCUUCACAAGCGUGCGAGCGACCUUCCAAUAAAAAUAAUUGAAUUCAUAUUCGAAGACCAAAGGUAACGUGACUGCGAUUUGAAUGAAUUCUUCCCGGUGAGAACAGUGACGUCAGUGGAGAGCUGAGAGGUUCCAUGCAGCAGACACUGGCGCUGUCAGCUUGACGGUGCCUACAUUACUGGACUGUAAUCGCCUCCAACGACUUCCUUAUGUCUACCUGUAACUACUCUGCUAGAAUCGUGAACAGCAAGGGCCAUUACACGUGGUUGUUGUCUUCCCCUGAUUGCCACCUACAAGCUUGGUGAGUGUCAAUCAAUAGGUGAGUACAGUGCUGUUCAUGCCCUUUGACCGUAUCGAAAGGUCACGGAUGCGAGACUAGAAAAGUAAAUCUUCAAAGAAUGUUUGCCAUGAUAAUGGUAAGUAAAAAUAAUUGAAUUCAUACACAGAAACACUCAAACAAAAAUACCAAAAAUGACCCCCUACCCUAUUUAUCUCUCUUCUGCCGAUGUGUGUGUGUGUGUGCGCCGGUAUAUUAGAUACAGGUCAAGACACACAUACAGAGAGAUGAGAGAUCCAAUUCAGAUAUAAAUACAAAUCUCAUAAAAAUUUUAAUCCAUGAUCAAAACGCCCCACCACACCUCCAUUGACGGGUGUCUCUACAGUCGGAUGGUGGGAGGAAAUGGAAACUGCCCUCACCGCCAACAGGUCGGCUUCUUACAUAUCUGUGGAGUUUGUUUACAGGAAUUCCUGCCCUACUGGAGAAGAGCCCAGCCACUGCCAUGCCGACUGACCUUUGCUUGGCACAAGUCAGAUAAAGACGAUUCCUUCCUUCUGCCACAGAGAGCUCCUCGUGGUUAGCAGCUAAGGGGCCACGACUCUUUGCUUCCGCAGUUUCUGAGGCGGCGCCUCUGUCGGCAGAGUUCGUCGUUCGUGGCAAAGGUUUCGUCAGAAGAAAACGGGGAUGAGUAGGGAGGAAGUUUGCUUUACUCCUUCUCCAGGCCAGGCUUUGAAUUCGUUCAACAGGUAACGAUUUGCUUUGCUUCACGGCAGACGUGAAAGGUCACCGGAGUUUGCACCUGAAGUGGGAAAGGUGAGCGAGGGGCGUGGACUUUCUUGAGACUGUGGUGUACGUGCAACAGGGAGGUUGGUGCACUGGUUAUCGACUCGUCUCCUACGCAAGACAGAGAGGAACAAAGAAAAAAAAUCUACAAUUAAAUAGUAGUUUCCGGAAAAUAAAUCAACAUCGGGUAAGCUAUAACACAGUCCUUCGUUUAGAUAGAAUGUAGGAUGCAGGUUCUUUCUGUGAUUGGUCACUUGCCCACCACGUGAUCUGAUAAAAUUCUUUAAUUUAGUUUGUACGGUAGCAGCUCAUUUCAUUGCUUGUCAUGAAAUAAAAAUAGCUUGUGCUAAUGAAGAGUCUUUGUGCUAAUGAAGUGGCUUUGUGCAUGUCGGUAAUUGCCUACUUGGCGCUUGGCAUGCAAUUUCUGAAAAAGAAAGCUUCUAGUCUAAACAGAGAGGACAAAAAAGUGAGUAAGCGCAUGUGGCCAGAGUGAGUUCUUUCAACAGGAACUUUCCAUUGGAACUCGCAUGCCAACAUGUGCGCGCAGUCAUCUCCAAAUAGACUUUAACACCUUUAGAGAAAGUUCCGUUAGCUUAGGUUUGAAAGUCAGCAAAGUAAAUUAAAAACUGACUGAAAGGAUUCUCUCAUUUCUUUUUAUUGUUUAUUUUUUUCUGUUUUUUUUUUUUUUUUUUUUUUUUUGUCUUUGUUUCUUUUGUUACUCUUUCUUUUAUCCUUUACUUUGUUCAUUUAUUUUAUUUUGCUCCAUCCUUUUCUUCCUUUCUUUACUCUUUGCAAUUGUUGGUUUUGGGGCGGUAGGGUUCUUUAUGUUGCUUUUUUAUUUUGGGUUUUUUCUAUCCUCUUUUGGAUUUGUGUGUGUUUUUUUGCUUUUUGUUGUUGGUUUUUUUUUUUUGUCAGUUUGUUUACUAGGCCUGCUUGAACAUGCGCCUGGGCACACACAGAGGCAUGCAAAAUCUUUAAUGCAAUGGCGUCGACUCCCCCACUCAGCUGUGCAGCCCUCCCCGCCUCUGUACCAACCAUCAAGCAGCUCCGCAUGUUCACAGGGCUCAUGUGAACACAAGUGGCAACAAAGAACGCAAAAAGCCCCAGGACUUCGCUCACCAGCUCGUUCUCCUAGUCACACCACGACUUUUACACGGGGCAGUAAACAACCUGUUGUCAAUCCCGGUGUCAACCCCACAGCACCAGGACAAGGGGACAAUAUUCUCCAUCAUAAAAAGUCUGUUCCCAGCAACAGUGUAGACCUCGCUUGUCUCGUACUGUGUCCCUACAUGCUUUCACUUGCCUGUUGAACUUCUUUACAGAAUUGUGUUUGUAGUUCUUGUAUUCGUACACUUUACGCCGGGUAAUCUUAUGAUUGUAGGCUUUUCGUUAGUCCACCUUGUGUCAGUUCACAAUGGGCAUGUACACCUGUUGGUAACACAUUAAUAAUGUCAACGCACCUCAAUGCCAAACAAAGAAAAAUUAAGUUUAAGCUAGUAUGAAACUUCACCCUGAAUCAUUCCCUCUCUCUGCUAAAGGCGAAUUAUUGGAAGAAGAAAGAAAAAAAAUCGUCCUUGCCGUUAGCUUAAUAGCAUUCUUUACAUCCAUUAGUUUACAGUUUUACAUUUUUAUAAUUCUUCUUCUGGAAAGGUCACCGGGAUUCAGCAUGGCAUCAGAAUGACGUCAUAAUGUGACGUCGUCGUUGUACUUCAUGGCUGUCGCCACCAUGAAUCCCGUCCCUCGUUAAUGAUAUCAUUAGAAUUAAUGACUCUUUUCCGAACACCAGGUGGUCAGAACAUUGAGUUCGAAGGAUUUGGAUCUUUGAGGUAGCAGAGGAAGGAGCAGUUGUCUCCGCUUGUAGUCGAGCAUCGCGCAGCACACUCACGAUUCAUCUCCAGGAAUGUCGAGUCGUUUCAUCGUGGUAGUACCUCGGUACUUGAUCGAAAUUCCAAAAGCAACACUUGUGCAACCUUUCAUCUUUAAUACUCUCUCAAAGUCUCGUUUCUUUAACACCCUCUCCAGGUGCUUUACAUGCACAUGACACGGUGUAACUUUUUCUCUCCAAGUGCUUGACUACAUGACAAUAAUUAUACAAUGAAACGGUUGGUAAACAUUGUAAAGAUGUUGUAGUGCAGGGGUCUUUACCUUUCUGAACUCAUGUUUACUCUUCUUGUUCACGCAUAACUAUAAUUUUCUUUUUAGGUUUUUUUUUUAUUAUUCUAGGUAUCUUCU